rnacentral:rRNA from 1 species
CAGUCGCCGCGGUAAUACAGAGGGUGCGAGCGUUAAUCGGAUUUACUGGGCGUAAAGCGUGCGUAGGCGGCUUCUUAAGUCGGAUGUGAAAUCCCUGAGCUUAACUUAGGAAUUGCAUUCGAUACUGGGAAGCUAGAGUAUGGGAGAGGAUGGUAGAAUUCCAGGUGUAGCGGUGAAAUGCGUAGAGAUCUGGAGGAAUACCGAUGGCGAAGGCAGCCAUCUGGCCUAAUACUGACGCUGAGGUACGAAAGCAUGGGGUGCAAACAGGAUUAGAUACCCCCGUAGUCCCUGUCUCUUAUAC